rnacentral:tRNA from 1 species
GACCCCGUCGUCCAGCGGCCUAGGACACCGGGCUUUCAAUCCGGUAACGGGGGUUCAAAUCCCCCCGGGGUCA